UUUACCAUGAGCCCUGUUUUUGAGGGUCCCUGGGACUAAUACUCUUAAUUUUCAUGGGUCAUGGACUACAAAAUAGGGGUCCCAGACACUUAAAUAUUAUUAUUAAUACUGUUAUUGCAUUGUCACUUGAACUGUUA